rnacentral:miRNA from 1 species
CCCAGAUGUUGCUGAAUUACAACUCCCAUGAUUCUUUGAAUUACAUAGAUAGCCAGAGAAUCAUGGGAGUUGUAGUUCAGCAACAUCUAGGG